GCCGGGCUGACCCCGCGCUGCGGCCCGAGACGGAAAGUGGGGACGGGGCUAGGGGCUCCGGACCCCGAACGUGGAUUACUUGGUGCUUCUCUGGCCGGCCGGCAUCGGAGGACCCCGACCUCGCCCCUCUCCAGCGCGGGGUUCGCUGCGCAGCCGUCGGGGCGCGCCUGGACGGGAAGCUCCAUGAUUUAUAAUCAAAUGCGGUUACUUGUCCGCCACCUGCAUCCCUGCCUGGAGCAUGAGCAAGAGCAAGUGCUGGCUGUGGACCGACAAAGCCCCUGCUGCAGCAAGCACCUGACACCCCCGAGAUGCCCAGUGAAAUCGGCAGUUCCUGGCUGAGCUGGGAGAUGCUUGGAAGCAAGAAAGAAGGACGGGAGAAAAGACCUGGACAGGAGGCUUGGCUCAGGGCCGUUCUUCAGGAAGCUGUGGAGCCACCGGGACCCCCGCCCCAGAAGGACCUGAGACGGGACUGAGUCCUGGGUUUGCUGAGGAAUUCUGAUUUUGGAGAAUAAAGAAGCUUCUGGACUUGAGGAGACCUUUGAGGAGGACGCCUGAGGGUUGGCCUGCACUGGCUGGAGGGGACGCGCCCUCAGAGAUGCCACAUCCCACACCUGGUCCUUCUUUCCAGUGGAAAAGCCUUUCCUCCAUGGCUGCCGGCUCCCGGGGCUCCCCCACCCCCACCCCGGGAACAUACCCUUCCUCGCCCCCCACCUUCCACUCCGGCUGUGCCUUUGGACUCAGCAAUUCUUCUUGUUUGCUCCAUUAUCUUCCAGCCGGAUACAGAGUGAAUAGUUAACUACACUCAGGUCAAAUGAGAUCUUAAUUUUUGUUCCUGCUCCUUCUAAAGCGGCCGCUGUUUGUGCGUUGCCAUGUGAGCCGCCUGGGAACCGCAGCCUCGCGGGUACUCGGGGUCUGGCCCCCCAGGCUCCAGAGUGGGGUGAAUCCCUGGCGAGAUCUCCAGGUGCUCAGAAAAGGGGAUGCUGGUGGGGGCUUUGGCAGGAGAGCAACGGCGCCGGCUCGCCUGCCUUGGCCCACUCGCGGCAUGUGCUGGAGGGGCUCAAGAGGAGGGCGGUCCUCAUCCCACCACCUUCCCCGGCGCCAGCACACGGCAGCUGCGGAGCCCCUGUUCUCGCUGGGGGGAGUGGAGUCCAGGCCAGAACAUGGAGCUUCCAGCAACAGUCUCUGUGCCAGAGUUGUGGCUUUUACUAAGACCUUCCUCCUCCAGUGUGUGCGGCCCCCACACACCUCUGACGACACCGGACCCCCCAAAACACGUGUCUUAACUGUUCCUUUCGCUCUGUAGCUGCCAUAUGCAUGGCUGACAACACUCCCGCUUAGCUCUCGUGCGUCAGCCUCGUCAAAACGCAGAGUCAAAGAUGACUGUUCUUUCUGUGUCCAGAGUGGAUGGACGGGUUGCCCUGUCACGGGAAUUAAAGCCAGACACCCCUGUCUUCCUGUGUUUAGAUGUUUCUGUGUCUUCCACGAGGAACACUGGGAUCCUUCUUGGCAUCUUGGAUUCACCGUGCAAUGAGCAAGGAGACCCUCUUGAGGAUGUUUGUGCUGUUGAGGUGCAGGGGCUGUUUGUGGCUUUCUUUCACUUUGCUUCCUUGACAAGCAGACAGACUCGUUGUACUGGUUAGCUCCCUCAGCUCAGGGAACAGAGACCCGCUUAUGUGACCUCCGUAAACACUGGAUUAUUCCAAGUUGCAGUGGAAGGAAGGUACAUAGGAGACAGGCCCAGCGGCUGCCCCACUAGAUCUUUCCAAGAAACCCAAAGCCAUUCAAGAUAACGUCAUAGUUCCCGUCUUCAUCGAUGGUUUCUAGGGAUGGCAAGGGCUGGACACUGCACUCAUCUCAGUGAUCCGCCCAGCAGCAGGCUCCUCUGCCCCGAUUCUGUAAUCCUGCUCUGGCGGGGAGCUAGCGGUGACCAGUUGUCCCAGUUUGCCCAGGAGUGGGAGGUCUCCCGGGCGGUGGGACUUUCAGUGCUAAGCUUGCCACCGUCCUGGACACUUGGCUGCCAUCCUGCUGGGGGCUUGAAGACCCUGCCCCUGCUGCAGCUUGACCUGCUCUAAUGCGUUGAUGGUCUGCAUUGGUUAGAACCCUCGUGUCUGGCCACGUCAUUGGCUACCAGGCCACCUAUAGGUGGAUGCCAAUAGGUCAGGCGCCAAUCUUGACCAAAUCAGUUAUUUCCAGGGUGGGAGGUUUGCAUGAUAGGAAUGAACACCUGGGUUUAAAGACCCAGUGGAGCUCACUUCUUUCAGACGAGUGCUGGGGACUGACAUUCCAGGUAGCAAGGAUUCCUCUCCAGUACCAUCCUCCUUAAAAAAGGGGACGUUAACCUUCCUUAUUAAGAACAAAACAGUUGGUUAAAACCAAAACUAACAUAGCCCCCGGGGGUGGUAGCUCUGAGACAAUACGAUGUUGUGAGUGUGUCCUCCAUGUGCACACGACGCGGGGGAAUGAGUCAGGGAGAAAAGGCUGCAUCUUUGCCAGAGACUAAGCGCGAAGUCUUUGGGAUGGUUUUGUCUGGAGAGCAAAAGGGUUGGCUAGAGGACUUCCUGAAAUUCCUUUGAACACUUGAAUACACUCAGAUACCAAGGGCAUGUAAAUUGGGUCUAAGUGUGUACUUUUUCUCUAAAGUCCCCUAGAUAACCUUUGAGUCCAGCUCAGAUAGGGCUGCACGGGACCUCCCAGCUCAGGUCUCCUUUCUAGACCACGACUUUAUCCAGGAUAAGGGACGGAACGUGG